GACAGAGGGGGCAAGCGUUGCUCGGAAUCACUGGGCGUAAAGGGCGCGUAGGCGGGAUGGCAAGUCAGUCGUGAAAUCUCUCGGCUCAACCGAGAAACGUCGGCUGAUACUGCCGUUCUUGAGGGAUGCAGAGGAGACUGGAAUUCCCGGUGUAGCGGUGAAAUGUGUAGAGAUCGGGAAGAACAUCGGUGGCGAAGGCGCUCUACUGGACCACAACCGACACUCAGGGACGAAAGCUAGGGGAGCGAAUGGG
rnacentral:rRNA from 1 species